AGCUCAGUUCAAACAACAACAAGAGGAAGAAACAGAAGCUAACGUGUUCGUGUUUAAGUGACUCUAUCUUUAAUAAUGCAGUCAGCAGAAGAGGGACACGUCGCCCCCGUGGAUCUAGAAGAUGAAGGAUUCCAGAAGAAACUAAUAAAAAAAGGAGGAAGAUGAAGAUAAAAGUUUCUUCUAUGAAGUAUCAUUAAUCCCUGUGGAACACGACACCUCUGAGGAACACCUCACCCCAGGUUUCCAGCCUCAGAAGAAGGAGGAACCUGAAGAUGAAGAUGAUCUCAGU